UUCCGGGUUGAUCCUGCCGGAGGCCACUGCUAUCGGGGUCCGACUAAGCCAUGCGAGUCAAGGGGGUGUCCCUCUGGGACACCACCGGCGGACGGCUCAGUAACACGUCGGUAACCUACCCUCGGGAGGGGGAUAACCCCGGGAAACUGGGGCUAAUCCCCCAUAGGCCUGAGGUACUGGAAGGUCCUCAGGCCGAAAGGGGCUUUUGCCCGCCCGAGGAUGGGCCGGCGGCCGAUUAGGUAGUUGGUGGGGUAACGGCCCACCAAGCCGAAGAUCGGUACGGGCUGUGAGAGCAGGAGCCCGGAGAUGGACACUGAGACACGGGUCCAGGCCCUACGGGGCGCAGCAGGCGCGAAACCUCCGCAAUGCGGGAAACCGCGACGGGGGGACCCCGAGUGCCGUGGCACCGCCACGGCUUUUCCGGAGUGUAAAAAGCUCCGGGAAUAAGGGCUGGGCAAGGCCGGUGGCAGCCGCCGCGGUAAUACCGGCGGCCCGAGUGGUGGCCGCUAUUAUUGGGCCUAAAGCGUCCGUAGCCGGGCCCGUAAGUCCCUGGCGAAAUCCCACGGCUCAACCGUGGGGCUUGCUGGGGAUACUGCGGGCCUUGGGACCGGGAGAGGCGGGGGGUACCCCUGGGGUAGGGGUGAAAUCCUAUAAUCCCAGGGGGACCGCCAGUGGCGAAGGCGCCCCGCUGGAACGGGUCCGACGGUGAGGGACGAAGGCCAGGGGAGCAAACCGGAUUAGAUACCCGGGUAGUCCUGGCUGUAAAGGAUGCGGGCUAGGUGUCGGGUGAGCUUCGAGCUCGCCCGGUGCCGUAGGGAAGCCGUUAAGCCCGCCGCCUGGGGAGUACGGCCGCAAGGCUGAAACUUAAAGGAAUUGGCGGGGGAGCACUACAAGGGGUGGAGCGUGCGGUUUAAUUGGAUUCAACGCCGGGAACCUCACCGGGGGCGACGGCAGGAUGAAGGCCAGGCUGAAGGUCUUGCCGGACACGCCGAGAGGAGGUGCAUGGCCGCCGUCAGCUCGUACCGUGAGGCGUCCACUUAAGUGUGGUAACGAGCGAGACCCGCGCCCCCAGUUGCCAGCCCUUCCCGUUGGGAAGGGGGCACUCUGGGGGGACUGCCGGCGAUAAGCCGGAGGAAGGAGCGGGCGACGGUAGGUCAGUAUGCCCCGAAACCCCCGGGCUACACGCGCGCUACAAUGGGCGGGACAAUGGGAUCCGACCCCGAAAGGGGAAGGGAAUCCCCUAAACCCGCCCCCAGUUCGGAUCGCGGGCUGCAACUCGUCCGCGUGAAGCUGGAAUCCCUAGUACCCGCGUGUCAUCAUCGCGCGGCGAAUACGUCCCUGCUCCUUGCACACC
rnacentral:rRNA from 1 species